rnacentral:tRNA from 1 species
UUCCGGGUUAGCUCAGCGGUAGAGCAGUGGACUGUUAAUCCAUUGGUCGCAAGUUCGAAUCUUGCACCCGGAGU